ACAUUUCUCUGCUGAAGUAAGAGUAUAUGGAGCUGGUGAGGUGGAUGCUGGUGCUGCUGGUGGGGUGGAGGCUGGUGGGAUGGAGGCUGGUGCUGCUGGUGGGGUGGAGGCCGGCGAUGCUUGACCUGCUGUUGUGGCUGGUACUGCAGAGGUUGCGGAGACUGGGCCCAAUGAUGCACCGAUUUUGUGGGGGAUUCGGGGCUGCUCCACCUUUGCAAGCUGAAGGUGGUCUACAUUAACUUUAUUUUAUGACAGUCCCACCUUCAGCCAGCAGAUCUGCACUUUUCCCCUGAAGUGCCACCACGGUGAAAGGGCCAAGAAAGUUUGGCUCCAGCUUUCCACCUUUCCUCUGCUGACUCCUCACAUUCUGCCUCCACACCUUGUCCC
ensembl:lncRNA